AACUAACAAGGAUUCCCUCAGUAGCGGCGAGCGAAGAGGGAAGAGCCCAGCGCCGAAUCCCCGCCCGCGGUGGGUAGUGGGAAAUGUGGCGUACAGAAGCCUUUGUUUGGUGUUGCCUGGGGGCCUGAGUCCUUCUGAGGGAGGCUCAACCCGUGGAUGGUGUGAGGCCCGUAGCGGCCCCCGGCACGCCGGCACCUGGUCUUCUCGGAGUCGGGUUGUUUGUGAAUGCAGCCCAAAGUGGGUGGUAAACUCCAUCUAAGGCUAAAUACUUGCACGAGACCGAUAGUGACAAGUACCG
rnacentral:rRNA from 1 species